AGUGAACGCUGGCGGUAGGCCUAACACAUGCAAGUCGAACGGCAGCACAGGAGAGCUUGCUCUCUGGGUGGCGAGUGGCGGACGGGUGAGGAAUACAUCGGAAUCUGCCCAGUCGUGGGGGAUAACGUAGGGAAACUUACGCUAAUACCGCAUACGACCUUCGGGUGAAAGAGGGGGAUCGCAAGACCUCUCGCGAUUGGAUGAGCCGAUGUCGGAUUAGCUAGUUGGCGGGGUAAUGGCCCACCAAGGCGACGAUCCGUAGCUGGUCUGAGAGGAUGAUCAGCCACACUGGAACUGAGACACGGUCCAGACUCCUACGGGAGGCAGCAGUGGGGAAUAUUGGACAAUGGGCGCAAGCCUGAUCCAGCCAUACCGCGUGGGUGAAGAAGGCCUUCGGGUUGUAAAGCCCUUUUGUUGGGAAAGAAAUCUUUCAGGCUAAUACACUGGGAGGAUGACGGUACCCAAAGAAUAAGCACCGGCUAACUUCGUG
rnacentral:rRNA from 1 species